CCUACGGGAGGCAGCAGUGGGGAAUAUUGCGCAAUGGGGGCAACCCUGACGCAGCCACGCCGCGUGAUUGAAGAAGGCCUUCUGGUUUUACAGAUCUUUAUAUGGAGACGUAUUUUGACGGUACCCGAAGAAUAAGCUCCGGCUAACUACGUGCCAGCAGCCGCGGUAAUACGUAGGGAGCAAGCGUUAUCCGGGUGUACUGGGUGUAAAGGGCUUGUAGGCGGGCAUGCAAGCCAGAAGUGAAAUCUGGGGGCUUAACCCUCAAACUGCAUUUGGAACUGCGUGUCUUGAGUGAUGGAGAGGCAGGCGGAAUUCCUAGUGUAGCGGUGAAAUGCGUAGAUAUUGGGAGGAACCCCAGUGGCGAAGGCGGCCUGCUGGACAUUAACUGACGCUGAGGCGCGAAAGCGUGGGGAGCAAACAGGAUUAGAUACCCCAGUAGUC
rnacentral:rRNA from 1 species